rfam:Felis catus isolate Cinnamon breed Abyssinian chromosome D3, whole genome shotgun sequence.
GCCUGGGUGGCUCAGUCGGUUAAGCGUCCGACUUCCGCUCAAGUCAUGAUCUCACGGUCCGUGGGUUCAAGCCCCGCCUCGGGCU